rnacentral:antisense_RNA from 1 species
AAACCUCAGCAAUGGGGAACUUCGGAGGGCCCUCAGGCAUCCACUCUACCCGGGGGCCGCCAGCCGCACGCAGCCUCGGAUUCGCCCUGCACAUCUGCCGCCCAGCAGGUUUGAAGGGGGUGGCGUUGGAUGGAGUGACUGAGAAAACCUGCGACAUCACAGAGAGACAAAAUAGAGAAAGUUUUCCCCUGGCCACCCCUCCUUGGCCUCCAGGUCUUAAGUCAGCCUACAGCUCCCCACAACUGCCUCGCCCGAGAGCUGCAGAGAUCCCUCUCAUACCGGAGCCCAGCCAAGCCAGUGCGGCAGGACCGACACAGCCUCUGGGUUCCGGGAUCUGAAAGGCUGCGAUGGAUUCUACUUGGAAGGGGUUGCAUCAGAAAGGCCUUCAGUGGUCAGCGCAGCUCCCUCCGGCUUGGAGAAGCCAGGCUGCUAUGUAGCCAGAGAACAGUCUUUUCCCCAGCGCUGCCCUGCAGCUGCCCGGCUCCAGGAAGUAGCUCCAGCACACUGCUAAGGGAAGAGCACUGGAAUUGAACUCAGAAAAACGAGUUCAAGCCAGCACUCCAAUCGGUCCCUUCAGCCUGAGUGCCUUUAUGCCUAAAGUUUUUGUUAUUGUUUCGUUGUUUUUUUUGUUGUUGUUGUUUUUUGUUUUUUUUUUCCGUUGCUGUUGAAACGGCAUCUCGUUCUGUGGCCCAGGCUGUAGUACAGUGGCGCGAUCAGGGCUCACUGCAACCUCUAACUCCUGGGAUCAAGGGAUCAUCCCGUCUAGGCCUCUAAAAGUGCUCGAAUUACAUGCGGAUGCCAUUGCAUGCGUGGCCUACGCCUACGGUUCUUGACCCUUCUGAACUUCAAAUUUACCCUUGUUAAAUUGAGGGAUAAUAAUAGUGAUACCUACCUCUAGGAUAGCUGUGAGGGUUAGGUGAGGAAAACAAACAGCUCUAUCCAGCUGAUUGAACAGAACUUUCCAAAGGGCAGCUAAGUCAGGUCCAGAUGAUCCAGUCAAUAUUUGUUGAUGCCUUUUACAUGACAGGCAGAAAAAGCAUUUGUGAUGCACACAAAUUUGUUUAAGAAAGCUCGAAAAUCUGUCCAACUGGGGACUUAGAAUAGGGUACGUCAGCUGGGCCAAGGGCCUUGACUUAUUACAAUUGCUACCCUUAAAUCUUAUCUGGUGGUGGAAUUCACCAUGUAUAAUGACUUAUAUACCCUUUAUUCAGAAUUGGAGAAUAUUCCAAGCAGCAGUGCGACAGGUGAACACUCUGAUCCUUAUGCACCAGUGUCCUACAUAGGAGGACUGUGCUCCUCGAAAACUGAGGGUCAUUGUCCCCUUUCGUCCAUCCUCCAAACAGCAUUUCUGAGUCCUCAACUCUCAAGCCUAAGAAUAUAUGUUGUGAGUCUAGAGAGAGCCUGAAGCCAGAGGAUUAGUGGAAUCAAUUUCCCUUCUUCCUAUAACUCCAAAAGAGAGCUUCCUCCAUAAAUCUUCAUGCCUUUUCAAUCUACUUAGCUCUCUCAAGCAGUGAGGUUGGUAAUUUUAAGAUUCUUUAUUUGGGAAGAAGAGGUGAUUAAUCCAUACUUUCUACACCCACAGCUGUUUCAAAUAUGGACCUCAGGAAAGUGAUGGUCCAGGAUGAUUCAUACAACUUAUUAUUCCUAAAAUUAUGAGCCUGGGAUCAUAUACUGUGAGAUAAGAACAAACUUUUAAAGUUAAUGGAUGCUUCUGAGUUCCCUACUUAGAAUUGAGAAUUGACACUGGGGACCUAAUAGCAGAAACACCCUCCACUGAGUUAGCCAUGUCAGAACCUCAGUGUCAUCGUGGACUUUUUUCUCUCAUUCACCUGACCCACACAUAGCAUAAACCACCAAGUGAUCUCCAUGCCACCCAAGUAAUAACGGUCUUGAAUCUGAUUACUUCUGUCCACUAUUUGUCUCCAUCGUCUUCGUGUAGAGUGUAAACCACAGUCACCCAAGAUUAUUGCAAUAGUGGUCUAACUCAAGGUCUCUUGCUUUCAGCCUUGCCUCUUAUUCCUUUCUCUCCAAUCAGUGUUUCCAUUUUUCCACAAGCCUUUAUGAAAAGCUAAAUCAAGUCAUGCUUCUCCGUGAAAACUCAUUAAUGGUUUCCUGAUUGUCCUCCAGGUAAUACUGAAACUCCUUAAUGUGGCACACAAGGCUUUCCUGAUCUGGCCGCCUUGUUUACCUCUCCGAUCUCAUUUCUUGCCACUCCUCUCUUUUGUAGAUACUCCCUCCCCUCCCUAACCUGUCCCUUUGGUCCCUGCCACUCGUCCCUUACAUACAAAUGGAUACUGCUCAAACUGUAGCACUUUCAGUUCUCGGAGGUGGAGGUUUUGUAUUCUCUUUUUCCUCGAGACUGCUGCACCUGCCUCUGUUUAGAACAUUUCUUGCACUACAUCCACCUAUCCUCCUCAACUCUUAAAGAUACAUUGUUUCAUUUUAGACAGCUUCUUCCAGGAAACCUCCCCUGAUGAUUCCAGGACACUUAUUUUUACCCCCAAGAGAGCUGUUAUGAUCUCCUCAGAAUUCCCCAUUUACUUGUUUGUUUUCACCAAAGCUUGUAGGCAGUGCCUAGUACAAUUCCUGUUAUACAGUUGACACUCAAUACAUAACUGUCAAAUGAAUUAAUGCCUGAAUGAGUGAAUUCUAUAACCCCAUAAGGGGCCCAUCAGUGCAAGAUAAAGAACAUAGAUACAACUUGUUUUGAAAAUGAUUCAGAUAAAGCUGCCUCCACAAUGUAUUUGUAUCUGAUGAUUGGGUGUGUGCCUAAAAAAUCCAACAUGUGUUCAGUGACAGCUUUUACUGCAGAAGUGCAGGCACUGAGAGGCUGUGCAGUAGCCUUGCUGUCGCCAUAGCAACCUAGCAGAGGGAAAGGCUGAUGAUUUAGUGUUCAGAUGCCUCUUAGCUCUGUACUUUUGGAACCCAAGCCUGUUUUUCCACUGUUCUAAAAGGCAAGUUUUACCGAUGAUAAUAUCUAUGCCGCCUUAAUUUCAUUCAAGUGUUUCUCAUGUCAUUAGAAGAAAUGUCUUGUAACAUUUGGAUUAUACCAUCAAAGAGAUAUAGUCUAAUACAGCAUAAUAUGGUCUUCUUUACCCUGCUUU